rnacentral:rRNA from 1 species
GACGAACGCUGGCGGCGUGCUUAACACAUGCAAGUCGAGCGGUAAGGCCCUUUCGGGGGUACACGAGCGGCGAACGGGUGAGUAACACGUGGGUGACCUGCCUUUAGCUCUGGGAUAAGCCUGGGAAACUGGGUCUAAUACCGGAUAUGACCCUAUGGCGCAUGUUGUGGGGUGGAAAGCCUUGUGCGGCUAGGGAUGGGCCCGCGGCCUAUCAGCUUGUUGGUGGGGUGAUGGCCUACCAAGGCGACGACGGGUAGCCGGCCUGAGAGGGCGACCGGCCACACUGGGACUGAGACACGGCCCAGACUCCUACGGGAGGCAGCAGUGGGGAAUCUUGCGCAAUGGGCGAAAGCCUGACGCAGCGACGCCGCGUGAGGGAUGACGGCCUCGGUUG